GCUUAGAAGCAGCCAUCAUUUAAAGAAAGCGUAAUAGCUCACUGGUCGAGUCGGCCUGCGCGGAAGAUGUAACGGGGCUAAACCAUGCACCGAAGCUGCGGCAGCGACGCUGAUGCGUUGUUGGGUAGGGGAGCGUUCUGUAAGCCUGUGAAGGUGUACUGUGAGGUAUGCUGGAGGUAUCAGAAGUGCGAAUGCUGACAUAAGUAACGAUAAAGCGGGUGAAAAGCCCGCUCGCCGGAAGACCAAGGGUUCCUGUCCAACGUUAAUCGGGGCAGGGU
rnacentral:rRNA from 1 species